rnacentral:rRNA from 1 species
CUUUUGCACUAAAGAGGACUUUUAAUUCAACAUCGAGGUCAUAAAAUCAUUAUUCAAUAAGGACUCUUUAAGUGAAUUAAUGCUGUUAUCCCUAAAGUAACUUAUUCUUCUUUUCAAAAUUUCAGAUAUUAACAAUUAUUAAGUCUAUAKAAUAAAAUAAAAGUUAUUAUCUCCUACCGCCCCAGGAAAAUAUCUACAUAGCUAUCUCUGAAAGUAGUGUAUAUGAAGUGUUAUAGGGUCUUCUCGUCUUUGGGAGUUAUUUUAGCCUUCUUACUAAAAAGUCAAUUUCGCUUUUUAUCCCAAAAAAGUCUUUUCCAGUUUAUCCCUUCAUCCCAG